rnacentral:rRNA from 1 species
UCCAGACUCCUACGGGAGGCAGCAGUGAGGAAUAUUGGUCAAUGGACGAGAGUCUGAACCGGCCAAGUAGCGUGAAGGAUGACUGCCCUAUGGGUUGUAAACUUCUUUUAUAUGGGAAUAAAAUGUUCCACGUGUGGGAUUUUGUAUGCACCAUAUGAAUAAGGAUCGGCUAACUCCGUGCCAGCAGCCGCGGUAAUACGGAGGAUCCGAGCGUUAUCCGGAUUUAUUGGGUUUAAAGGGAGCGUAGGUGGAUUGUUAAGUCAGUUGUGAAAGUUUGCGGCUCAACCGUAAAAUUGCAGUUGAAACUGGCAGUCUUGAGUACAGUAGAGGUGGGCGGAAUUCGUGGUGUAGCGGUGAAAUGCUUAGAUAUCACGAAGAACUCCGAUUGCGAAGGCAGCCUGCCGCAGCGUUACUGACGCUGAAGCUCGAAAGCGCGGGUAUCGAACAGGAUUAGAUACCCGUGUAA